ACACUCCUUAAUUUUCUUAUCACCGGGUAUGUAAACAUGUUGUCGAAUGUGACAGAAAACAAGGAGUGUUGCCACGUGAUUGCUCGACGAGCUUCCGCAAUUCAAAGUUAGGACUCGAAUGGAAUGUUUGACGGUAAAUACAGGCUUAACAAAUAAAAUAAUAACUUAACAUGUCUUGAGAGGUGUCUGUGUGUUUAAUUGGAAACAACGAUUAUAUAGUGAAAGUAUUACGUUUGGAAGAUACUUAUAUACACGUCUUUUUCGUAAAAUGGCAAAUAAGAUGACAUAUAUCGACCCAAUGAUUGGGGCACAUAAUUGCUCGAAACUGUGCACUGAGUUCCCCAAAGCAUGUGCCCAGUAUUGCAAAGGUUAUAUACAACCUGAAGCAGAUCUUAACGUUUCUACACUUCUCAGCGAGACCAGUACCAUAUCAACGUCACCAUUGGAAUCCCAUGGACCAGCGCCUUACAUCAUCAUAACAAUAAGCGUCACAGCGUUUUUGAUGGUUAUUGCCAUCGUGAUGGCUUGCUGUUUUAAAGACAAGAUAAAACGCUCCAUUAAGAAAAUUCGAGAAAGGCUCAGCAAGAAACCAUUAAAAUUCUCCGUCGAAGAGACAGACCAAACGCGGGUUUUUAUCCCAUUCCAUAACGAGGCAAACCAAGCAGCCGAUAAUGGAAAGGUACCUACUGCGCCCCUUCUGGAUGCAAAAGAAUCAUGCCUUCCGUCUGCCUAAUAGGCUUCAACAACGAUCGCCCAUCACUCUGGAUCAGCAAAAGAUUAAUUGCGUACAUUUAUCUGACGGAGGAUUCCGGAGAUAGCCGAGGUAUCACGACCGGCUCAACCAUGUCGACGCAGCAGUAUACGUGUGACAUGGGGAAAACAGAACGAACUAAGUGAAGCAGCUACAUCCGCCCAUCUCAGACAUGCAAGGAGUUCUCGUCCAGGCGCACUAAACAAGAUGGUACUUUCCAAUCCAUAGACUUAUUCUAGAAUGCGUUAGAUUUGGAAAAACCGAUCAAUAUGAGAGAAGAAACCAGGCUGAGCCUCUAAAGCCUUUUCCAUACCACAUCCACAAUAAAUAUUACGAAAUUUAAUUAUUUGAAUGGAACUAAAAUGUGGUAAUAUUAACAAACGGGACAUUUUUGGCUUCUUCAAAGCUAUGGAUAUCCGGAAUUGUACUACCAAUCACCAAGUGUGGGUUUACAUUAUACAAGAGGUUAUUUAUUGUUUAUGGUUGCCCAACUCAAAUUUUUCAAUCUUGCCUUUGGAAAUGUUUCUUGGACAGAGUGGUCUUAUUAAAGAGCUAAUGCAACGCGAAAUAAGAAGUAUAGAGAAGUUGAUACAUACACGUGAUAUGGAUGAAAGGUCGAUGGCAUAAAUGAACAACGCAAAUGCGGUACAUAGGCAUCGACAGUGACGUACAUGUAAUUACAGACUGGCAUAUUAAGCAACUUGGAAACUUAAGCAAGAUUGAAAAAUAAAAGCAUCAAACAUAUGUUUCUUAAUGUGCAUAGGAAACAUAUACAUGUCGCCAGACCAGAUGUAUGUGUAAAGGUGCGCCUUUUUGUUAACAAUGUUUGAUUUUGAACAACAUAUGUGAAGAAGGUAGUCGCUUUCAUGUAUUGUAAAAGUAUAUAUAAUAUAUAUAACAUUUAUAAUUGUAUAUUUAAAAUUGUUUUUUUAAGUUAACAACGUGUGUGAUAAAUUAAUUUAUAUCGGUAUGAAGCACGUAUGGAUAUUUUUUGUGUGUAUACAUUUUAUUUUUGCCAUAUAGUAAUACAUACAUAUAAACAUUCAUAUAACAUUCCUGUAAAAUUCGUGCAAUAUACAUACCAAUUCAUAAACACAUACGUGAAGGGUGUGUAUAGACAUAGAAGUAGUAAUCCAACAUUCAUAUAAAACACAUUUUUUCAAAUUAGAAAAGAAAUGGAUAUUAUUAUGCAUUUACUUUGACCGAGUGUGUUGCAGAAUACAUGCAUGAUGCAUAGAAGUUAAAUUUCACAUGCAUAAUUUGCGAAAUGUGUGAUACGUUAUCUUGUUUAAUCUGUAAUUACUUAUAUGUGACUAUAUACACCAACCGAUUACUUUUUUGUUCACUUGUUUCUUUGGUAUAUUCGUUGUGCUGCUACAAAGUUACAGUUGCAUAAACCACCAUGAAGGGUCAACUCACGUUUUACGACGAGGUCACGGGUUCGGAACAGAAUUGCUCAACUUUGUGCCCUGCUCUUCCCGGCGCUUGCCAACGAAAGUGUCCAGCGUUUAUACCCUCAGUCGACAACGUUUCAACAACAAUCAUCGAAACAACCUUUAACACCACUACUGUAUUCGAUAGUGGAAAAGAAGCAUCCUUGCUCGUACAACUAACUAGCUCUGUGCCGUACAUUUUAUGUGUAAUUGCUGCAAUUCUGCUUUUCUUCCUUGCAAUUUAUUCUAAGGACAUAAUCAAACGUUCAAUGAAUAGACUUGGUCAAUGGUUUUGUCAACACAACUUGAAAUAUGGAAUUCAGGAAGAAAACAAAAAACCGGAGGCACAUGACCUUCUCAUCAUUCAUACUCAACAAGACAGGCUGCCGUCCUAACCGACAGGAUCGCCAUAGAGAUUAGACAUUCGAUGUUUAGUACAUUACAAUCAACCAUUGGCACCAUCAUGUAUUCAGUUUUGUUACCGUAGCGACGUUUUGCGUAUAUUCAUCUUACCUGGUUAAACAAUAUUUGUUUUUGUCUGUUUUUCCCAUUAACUUUAUACAAGAUUUAUACACAUAUAAAUGAUCUAAUAUGUAGAAUUUUAUACAUUUAUGUAUGUUACGUAUAUCUAAACACGACAUUUUAUUUAAGAAAAAUUGUUGGCGUUUUCUUUUGCAAAAUAUUCUCAUUUACUGUCAAUUCGCAUCACUUUUGGUCAGCUUUUAAUUACACGGCGUCAAUAUUCUGUUUGAAGAUUAAGUAUUGUAUGUCGGUGAAUUACAACUGUUUUGUCGUUAAAAAAGCAUCUGAUCAAAGUGAUCAGACAAUUGUUAACACUUGUUAAAUUGCAUUCAACGGUAUGCCACGAGAACUCGUAUCAUUUCCUAUUUUCUAUUUCCUAUGUUAACCUAAGACACAAAUGUGACAAAUGCGUUUACCUGCGUAACCAAUAUGUGGUGAUUUUUUUGCCGUUGUCAACAGUAUUGCAGUCAUAAAAGUGUUUAGGAACUCACACUUUUCCUGGGAUUGCUUGAUUACCAGUACUAAGUGCACAGAUUUAUGCCAGUAACUGACAACUGCCCUACUUGAGAAGGAGGUCGGGGUGGCCGUAGAAAGGAUCCAUAACCACUCACAACACAAGAUGAUCAGCCGGACCGGGCAUCAAACACGCUAGCACCGGAUUUGUAGUCCAGCGCCGUACCAACUUAGUUAGCCAGCCCAUUCAUGUCUGGAUGGCGAUGACUUUACUCAAGCCAACACCAUAACGUGGGUAAAGUCGAAAAUUAAUAAAUAAAUGAUAAAGAUAGCAUGACGGCAAUUUCGGCUUCCUUAGAAGGGAAUCCUUUCUUAUUGUAUGUUUUAAUAAUAAAAACACUACUCUUAUCUAUUUCUCAGCCUUUCUAGUAUGUUCGACCAGUUGGUACGUGUAGGUUUAUGUUCAUAAAUAUGUUUCUAAUAUAUGAAUUUAAAUCGUGUUUUUUUCUGGAAUACUAAUCUGGCAGUUAUGAAAUCUAAAAUCUCAUAAAGCGAUUUUCGUGCUUUUAUUUAUUGUUCACUUAAAGUUAUAUCUGACACACACGCACGUGCUAAUGGCAACUACGUGUAUAGCGUGUGUUGUUAUUUUACGACACAGAGUUGAUGACUCAUUUCAAGGACGACUGUUCUAUUAAAAUGGAAGAUGACGCAUACCGAUUCAAUCAUGGGCGUUCAGAACUGCUCUGAUCUGUGCCCAGGAUCCCCAAGGGCUUGCAAGAAAUAUUGCCCAGAUUAUCAUUCAUAUAACAUAGAUCGAUAUAUAAGAAUGGACACAAAGAUUUAUUUUGUAAACGUGAUGCUUGAGUUGUUAUUUGAUUAAAUACGUUUUUAAAUAAUACAUAAGCUGAAUUAUUUCAUUGAUUGUUAAUGAUUUCAAAAGUGAUACAAUAAUCCAACACUUUUAUUGGAUUUUGUUUGUAUCCAAAUAAACCUGCGAAACAGACCAAAUUUACGAUAAUAUAAGAUCUAUCUUUAUAAAUUUUGCAAAUUAAAAUGUAUUUCAAACAUUUGUCGCAAGGUUUGUAAUUUAAUAUUCCGUACAUCUUAAACUUUGAACCAAUAAAAUGCGUAUUUUCAAUCUUUGGUGUACAACUUCAUGAUCUAUUUUAUGAUGUCCAGAAAAAGACGUGGUAAUUUAUACGCUUUAAUGGAUGCUCAUAUUAAAUGAUAUAAUUAAUCUUUAUUGAUAAUAGAUUAUAUUCCUCCAGGAAUCGACCUUUCAACAACACACGGUGAGACAACAACAGUCACUGAGAAAUCAAUGCGCUUGACGACUUUUCUGUCACACGGCAGCGAGACAGGAAAACAUGCGUGUACAACUAUAUCUGCGCUAUCACAAGGAUCAGAAGAAUCACCCUUAAUACAAACGAUUCUGUACAGCAUAUGUGCAGCGGCCGUUGUUCUGCUAAUCCUCCUGGUGAUUUGGUGUCUGAAGGACAGGAUUGAACGUUCCAUUGGCAGGUUGCGUCAAUGGUUCUGUGAGCUAACAUUGCAGCUUCCUUUGCAAGAAAUGAAUCAGGAUCCGAAAUGGAACCAGAUGGAACUCGAAGUGCAAAAUCUACUGCACAAUUUUUCUCAGCCCAAAGACAAUGGUAAAAGACUGAAUGUAGUGAGACUCACGGAAGCAAGUGCUCCUCCGCUAGAUAUUGCGGACGAAUCAAAUAGUCAAACAAACUCUUUCUAAUCGGCAAGAAUCGACAAUGUUCGGGGACACUGAUGGCACUUUAUUAGCCUGAUUCUGUGAAAUCUGGACUUAAUGCACUCGCUAAUCAGCGGCGAUACUUUCCGCCUUAACUGGAUUUUUUUAGAAUAGACUUCCUUUAAUCGGGGAGGACACGUUACACACAUGCAUUAAGUCCAGUUUUCCAAGAAUGAGGCUAAUAUAGUGGCGUCAUUCAGGCUAUGCCCAUAUGGUAAAGCCGUUGACAAGAUUCGCGUUCUCAUGCACACGUACGCACAUAAAACUUAUAGCAUGACCUUUAUUCUCAUUUAUACAGGAGGAUAUUGACGCUUUGUUGUACUGCUGAAUGAUUUUAUUGUAAUGAAGUUGACAAACUCA